AAAUAAGGUGAGGGUUUGAUAUUGUUUAACAUACGACAUUCUAUUCUACGUUUUGUUAAGCGAGAAAAAUAAUUCUGCUCAACUGAGAUAAACAUGAGCCCUUUCGUUUUCUUCUUCUGUGUCAGCCUUCUGUGCACGGUGUCUAUUGUCGUUAAUACGGACGUUCUAGAUCAUGAUAUAGACGACCCUCAUUAUGUUGAGAAACAACCCCGAGAUACCCCUUCAACAGAAACAACCAGCAAGUUUAAAAUAGACUCAUCAAAUGAGUUGUUGAAACGAACCCCGCAUACAUGAUUGAAAUAGACUAACAAAUCAAAUGAAAAUAAAGACCUGAAUUGCCAAUUUAACAGAGACAACUAGGAUUCCAAUACAUAACCUUCAGUACGCUUCUUAUGUAGAGUG